CUCUCUCUCUCUCUCUCUCUCUCAAGUUCUCAACUCAAUGUCCAAGUGUUAGAAUUCCAAUUACAGUUCUUAGAGAGAGGUGCAUUGGCAGAUUUAGGUGUGAUGGAGAAGGUGACUUUUGGAGGAAGGUUCGAGGGCUGAUGUGUUUCCGAUUUUUGGGGAAUAUCUAUUUUUGGUGGAAGAUCAGUGGGUCUCUAUGUGCAGCAAUGCUGACCUGUGUGGUGGUGGUGUAUCCCGUCCUUGUUUUAGUUUAAUCUUCUCUGUUUGUAGCAUUUCGUUUCUUUAACUGGCCUUUUUGGCCUUUGUAUUCUCUGUUUGUUUCUUCCCCAUUUAUGGGUUUUGAAUGAAUAUGAUUGAUUCCGACCAAAAAAACAAAAAAACUCAUUUUAA